rnacentral:rRNA from 1 species
UACGGGAGGCAGCAGUGAGGAAUAUUGGUCAAUGGGCGCGAGCCUGAACCAGCCAAGUAGCGUGCAGGACGACGGCCCUAUGGGUUGUAAACUGCUUUUAUGCGGGGAUAAAGUGCGGCACGCGUGCCGUUUUGUAGGUACCGCAUGAAUAAGGACCGGCUAAUUCCGUGCCAGCAGCCGCGGUAAU